AACCUUGCGCGGUGGCAAUGUCGUAACCAAUGAAGGUUUCCUGAGGUGCGAUUAUUGCUAGUUGAAAACUCG
rnacentral:snRNA from 1 species